UCCAUUUCACUGACUGUGAGAAGCUGGAAAUGUCCCAGUGAUCCUGUAACUGCUGGGAAGUUUCUCCUGGGCUCAUGAGUUACAAUGAAGAUGAGGAUUUCCUUCCACUCGCAUUGUGCCAUGGGCAACCCCUCUCUGUCCAGUUACCUCCUUUUCUUUUUUACGGUCCAUGUUUCUACAUUGGAAUCAGAUGACACCAAGCUGGGAGAGGUUGCUACAACUCUGG